CUAGGGAUAGUCUUUACCUCUAGUGGUCUUUUUCAACAGGGGAAAGAAGAGCUAUUCAAAAAAUCCUUAAAGGCAAAAUUCAAAUUACAAAAAUCCAUGUCAGCUUGUAAUCCAAGUAUUGAUACUGCAAUACAUUUAUAUGAUCACACAAUAAAACCAAUUUUAUUAUAUUGUAGUGAAAUUUGGGGUUCAUUUAAAAUUAACUCUGCUGCUUGCAAGAAAAAAAGUGAUUAUCUAUUUGAAUUAAUCUACAUAAAUGAUUAUUUGGAAAAAUCACAUUUCAGAUAUUUAAAGUAUAUUCUUGGUGUAAAUAAGAAAGCCUCAAAUUUAGCAGUGUUAUCAGAGGUUGCAAGAUUUCCUCUUUAUUUUUCUGUCAUUAUAUCUAUGGUAAAAUAUGUACACAGGCUUAACAAGUUGGACAAAGGGUUACUUUAUGAUGCUUAUGUUUGUAAUAAAAUUUUAGAUGCAGAAAACAUUAAUUGUUGGUAUUCAUCUAUGAAAUAUGUACUUCAAUCACUUGAUAUACAAAUUU
rnacentral:lncRNA from 1 species